rnacentral:rRNA from 1 species
CAAUAGCGUAUAUUAAAGUUGUUGCGGUUAAAAAGCUCGUAGUUGGAUUUCUGUUGAGGACGGCUGGUCCGCACUAUGUGCGUGUAUCUGGUUCGGCCUCGGCAUCCUCUCGAAAGCCGUUUCUGCGCUUGAUUGCGUGGUUCGGACUUCGGGACUUUUACUUUGAGGAAAUUAGAGUGUUCACGGCAGGCAAGCGCCUUGAAUAUAUUAGCAUGGAAUAAUAAUAUAGGAUCUUGGUCCUAUUUUGUUGGUUUCUAGGGCUAAGAUAAUGAUUAAUAGGGACAAUUGGGGGCAUUCGUAUUAACGCGUCAGAGGUGGAAUUCUUGGAUUGCGUUACGACGAACUACUGCGAAAGCAUUUGCCAAGGAUGUUUUCAUUGA